rnacentral:rRNA from 1 species
UACAGAGGAUGCAAGCGUUAUCCGGAAUGAUUGGGCGUAAAGCGUCUGUAGGUGGCUUUUUAAGUCCGCCGUCAAAUCCCAGGGCUCAACUCUGGACAGGCGGUGGAAACUACCAAGCUGGAGUACGGUAGGGGCAGAGGGAAUUUCCGGUGGAGCGGUGAAAUGCGUAGAUAUCUGGAGGAACACCGGUGGCGAAGGCGACAUCCUGGACCACGACUGACGCUGAGGAGCGAAAGCCAGGGGAGCAAACGGG